UACGAAGGGGGCUAGCGUUGCUCGGAAUCACUGGGCGUAAAGGGUGCGUAGGCGGGUCUUUUAAGUCAGGGGUGAAAUCCUGGAGCUCAACUCCAGAACUGCCUUUGAUACUGAAGAUCUUGAGUUCGGGAGAGGUGAGUGGAACUGCGAGUGUAGCGGUGGAAUGCGCAGAUAUCAGGAGGAACACCAAUAGCGAAGGCAGCUCGCUGGGACGUUUACUGACACUGAGGCGCGAAAGCGUGGGGGAGCGAACAGG
rnacentral:rRNA from 1 species